GUUUAAUAAACAUUGUUUCACUAUUUUAAAGACACUGAAGUGGACCUGUUUUCUAUUUCUAUCUUUUCUUUCUUUAAAAAUCGAUCAGUGAUCGGAAAAAUUACGCGUUUUAUCAAUUUUCAAAACAAUUAUCUAUAUAUAUAUUUGUAAAAAUUUUAAUACGUAAGUUUAUACAGCUUUAUAACAUUGUUUCAGUAUAUUAAAGACACUGAGGUGGGACUGUUUUCUAUUUCUAUGUCUAUAUUUUCUAUCUUUAAAAAUCGAUCAGUGAUCGGAGAAAUUACACGUUUUAUCAAUUUGCCCCAAAAUUAUUUAUAGAUAUUUGUAAAAUUUUAAUACGUAGAUUUAUAUAGUUUUAAAACAUUAUUUCACUAUAUUAAAGACACUGAGGUGGGACUUUGGACCUGUUUUCUAUUUCUUUUUGUAGCUAAUUAUCUUCGAAAAGUCCGUAAUUGUCCACAGUUGCCCCCUCAAAAUCUCCCCUGAGACUUCAGAAAAGGGUUCUCUUAAUAUAUUUCCCCCUGACAUCUCCAAUCAGCUUCCCCACAUAAGAUUAGAAACCAGAAAAGCGCGACACUCUGGCUGCCUUCGUUAUGACAUUAACAAAUCUAUCGGAGCGUUAGGAAAAAAGUUACCCUGCGGUAUUUGUUCCGGCUCUUAACAUUCUGAGUUCAAAUCCUACCUAGGCCAGCUUUACUUUUUAAACUUUCAGGGGUCAGUGACAAGAGAAAAAGGAAGAAGAAAUCUACAAGUCAGGUGCUAUGGUUGAU
rnacentral:lncRNA from 1 species